rnacentral:RNase_P_RNA from 1 species
GGAGUCAGCCAGACAAUCGCUGCUGCAUGGGUAACUGUGCAGGGGAGGAAAGUCCGGGCUCCAUAGGGCAGGGUGCCAGGUAACGCCUGGGCGGCGCAAGCCGACGACUAGUGCAACAGAGAGCAAACCGCCGAUGGCCUACGCUUGCGUAGGAACAGGUAAGGGUGAAAGGGUGCGGUAAGAGCGCACCGCGCGGCUGGUAACAGUUCGUGGCACGGUAAACUCCACCCGGAGCAAGGUCAAAUAGGGGUUCAUUGGCGCGGCCCGCGUUGAACCCGGGUAGACUGCUUGAACGCUGGGGCGACCCAGUGGCUAGACGAAUGAUUGUCCACGACAGAACCCGGCUUAUCGGCUGGCUCCCACC